rnacentral:pre_miRNA from 1 species
UCUUCAUUUCACACACUCUCUCGACCGAUCAGAGAGGAUAGAGAGUGUGUGAAAUGAAGAGA